GUUGGAAAAUGGAAACAAGCAAUUGCUGUUUACGGUGGCAGCGGAUGGCUCUAAUUUCCUUGGUGCUGCCUUGCUGGGUGGCUUUCUUCUCGACUCAAGGGGGAAGAGAAGUGUUUGUUAAUAUUAUAUUUCAUACCAUACUGGAUCCUGUUGAUAUUGUUUCUGUUAAAUUGAAGGGAGCAAAAUGUUGGAGGGUUUAAGAAUAUGAUAAGGAAAUGCAAGAAGUUGGGGACCUGGC
rnacentral:misc_RNA from 1 species